ACGCGUUCACAAUUGUUCACCCUCGACUGAGAUUUGUACAGCUUUGUGCUAAAUUUGAUAACAAUUGAACUGUUUGAUAACAACAAUUUCUAAUUGGUGUAACUAUUAAACGAGAUGUAGCUGAGAUUAUAGUAACUAACCUGACAGCUGCAUUUAUGUCAACGCCCAGCGAGUUAUGCAUUUCGUAAUUUAAGUUUACAAGUGUUGUUGAUAGUACAAAACAAGGGUCGUGAUGGCGCACCCACACUUGCGGGAGGCGGCCGAGUCUCUGCUUAGCAGUGUUAGUCCGCAUCAUAGGACGCUCACACAUUCAACAUCUCUGAACCUAGUAUCAGAUGACCUGGUAGCGGGACACAGGCCACAAGGCAAGAUAUCUACAGUGCGGCGCUUCUUCUGUCUGUUUGUCACGUUCGACCUGCUGUUCACCAGCCUCAUGUGGCUUAUUUGUGUUAUGGUAAGCUUUUACUAUAUUUUCAUUAUAUUCAGCA